rnacentral:rRNA from 1 species
GACGAACGCUGGCGGCGUGCCUAAUACAUGCAAGUCGAACGCACUCUCGUUUAGAUUGAAGGAGUUUGCUCCUGAUUGAUAAACAUUUGAGUGAGUGGCGGACGGGUGAGUAACACGUGGGUAACCUGCCCUAAAGUGGGGGAUAACAUUUGGAAACAGAUGCUCAUACCGCAUAAAACCUAACACCGCAUGGUGUAGGGUUGAAAGAUGGUUUCGGCUAUCACUUUAGGAUGGACCCGCGGUGCAUUAGUUAGUUGGUGAGGUAAAGGCUCACCAAGACCGUGAUGCAUAGCCGACCUGAGAGGGUAAUCGGCCACACUGGGACUGAGACACGGCCCAGACUCCUACGGGAGGCAGCAGUAGGGAAUCUUCCACAAUGGACGAAAGUCUGAUGGAGCAACGCCGCGUGAGUGAAGAAGGUGUUCGGAUCGUAAAACUCUGUUGUUGGAGAAGAAUGUAUCUGAUAGUAACCGAUCAGGUAGUGACGGUAUCCAACCAGAAAGCCACGGCUAACUACGUG